rnacentral:rRNA from 1 species
CAGAACUUAGGCCAGCGAACGCAGC